UUCCUGGUGGUCCAAUGGUCAAAACUCUGCCCUUCCAAGGCAGGGGGUCCAAGUUCAAUUCCUGUUCAGGGAA
rnacentral:tRNA from 1 species